rnacentral:rRNA from 1 species
GACGAACGCUGGCGGCGUGCCUAACACAUGCAAGUCGAGGGUUUUAGUAGUAAUACGAAGAACACUGGCGCACGGGUGAGUAACGCGUAGAUCAUCUGCCCCUAACACUGACAUAACAGUUCUAACGGACUGCUAAUAUCAGAUGUGAUAAGCAAUUAUUAAAGGGUAACCGGUUAGGGAGUGAGUCUGCGUCUGAUUAGGUAGUUGGUGAGGUAACGGCUCACCAAGCCUACCGAUCAGUAACUGGUCUGAGAGGACGAACAGUCACACUGGAACUGAGACACGGUCCAGACUCCUACGGGAGGCAGCAGUAGGGAAUAUUGCGCAAUGGACGAAAGUCUGACGCAGCCACGCCGCGUGAGUGAGGAAGGCCUCGGUU